rnacentral:lncRNA from 1 species
AAGCCGCGAAAGUUGGUUGUGCCGCCCGGGCCCUCCAUGCUCCGCGCAGAGAUAGCACUUAAUCAUAAGCCGCGAAAGUUGGUUGCACCCCCCGGGUUUUCCAUGCUCCGCGCAGAGGUUGCUUUAACCGUAAGCCACGAAAGUUGGUCACACCCCCCGGGUUUUCCAUGCUCCGUGCAGGGUGUUCCUGUCAAUCGUAAGCCGCGAAAGUUGGUUGU